UAGGGAAUAUUGCACAAUGGGGGAAACCCUGAUGCAGCGACGCCGCGUGAAGGAAGAAGUAUCUCGGUAUGUAAACUUCUAUCAGCAGGGAAGACAAUGACGGUACCUGACUAAGAAGCCCCGGCUAAUUACGUGCCAGCAGCCGCGGUAAUACGUAAGGGGCAAGCGUUAUCCGGAUUUACUGGGUGUAAAGGGAGCGUAGACGGAAUGGCAAGUCUGAUGUGAAAGGCAGGGGCUUAACCCCUGGACUGCAUUGGAAACUGUCAGUCUAGAGUGCCGGAGAGGUAAGCGGAAUUCCUAGUGUAGCGGUGAAAUGCGUAGAUAUUAGGAGGAACACCAGUGGCGAAGGCGACCUGCUGGGCUUUAACUGACGCUGAGGCACGAAAGCAUGGGGAGCAAACAGGAUUAGAUACC
rnacentral:rRNA from 1 species